rnacentral:rRNA from 1 species
AGCUUGCUCCCUGAUGUUAGCGGCGGACGGGUGAGUAACACGUGGGUAACCUGCCUGUAAGACUGGGAUAACUCCGGGAAACCGGGGCUAAUACCGGAUGGUUGUUUGAACCGCAUGGUUCAGACAUAAAAGGUGGCUUCGGCUACCACUUACAGAUGGACCCGCGGCGCAUUAGCUAGUUGGUGAGGUAACGGCUCACCAAGGCGACGAUGCGUAGCCGACCUGAGAGGGUGAUCGGCCACACUGGGACUGAGACACGGCCCAGACUCCUACGGGAGGCAGCAGUAGGGAAUCUUCCGCAAUGGACGAAAGUCUGACGGAGCAACGCCGCGUGAGUGAUGAAGGUUUUCGGAUCGUAAAGCUCUGUUGUUAGGGAAGAACAAGUGCCGUUCAAAUAGGGCGGCACCUUGACGGUACCUAACCAGAAAGCCACGGCUAACUACGUGCCAGCAGCCGCGGUAAUACGUAGGUGGCAAGCGUUGUCCGGAAUUAUUGGGCGUAAAGGGCUCGCAGGCGGUUUCUUAAGUCUGAUGUGAAAGCCCCCGGCUCAACCGGGGAGGGUCAUUGGAAACUGGGGAACUUGAGUGCAGAAGAGGAGAGUGGAAUUCCACGUGUAGCGGUGAAAUGCGUAGAGAUGUGGAGGAACACCAGUGGCGAAGGCGACUCUCUGGUCUGUAACUGACGCUGAGGAGCGAAAGCGUGGGGAGCGAACAGGAUUAGAUACCCUGGUAGUCCACGCCGUAAACGAUGAGUGCUAAGUGUUAGGGGGUUUCCGCCCCUUAGUGCUGCAGCUAACGCAUUAAGCACUCCGCCUGGGGAGUACGGUCGCAAGACUGAAACUCAAAGGAAUUGACGGGGGCCCGCACAAGCGGUGGAGCAUGUGGUUUAAUUCGAAGCAACGCGAAGAACCUUACCAGGUCUUGACAUCCUCUGACAAUCCUAGAGAUAGGACGUCCCCUUCGGGGGCAGAGUGACAGGUGGUGCAUGGUUGUCGUCAGCUCGUGUCGUGAGAUGUUGGGUUAAGUCCCGCAACGAGCGCAACCCUUGAUCUUAGUUGCCAGCAUUCAGUUGGGCACUCUAAGGUGACUGCCGGUGACAAACCGGAGGAAGGUGGGGAUGACGUCAAAUCAUCAUGCCCCUUAUGACCUGGGCUACACACGUGCUACAAUGGACAGAACAAAGGGCAGCGAAACCGCGAGGUUAAGCCAAUCCCCACAAAUCUGUUCUC